rnacentral:misc_RNA from 1 species
AAAUUAUUUAUGAACACAAGAAAUCAGGAUUAAUAUAUCCUUAAGCUAUGGCUUGCUUAAUUGGCUAUAAUACAUAAAAUAUCAUAACAAAUGCUGGGGCAUCACCAAGGAGCACGGUACUUCAUACUGUUCUAGUUCUAGUCGUUGAAUAGCAAUUCAAUCAUUUUGGAAGUUUAUGAUCAUAUCUUAAAUUCUUUAAUUGCAUGGUUUGGGGAGGAUCUUAACUGUGGGGUUCGGGUUCUUAAAUCAAGUGUCUCUCCCACAAACCAAAAACCAAUUCAUGUAAUUGAUAUAGGUAGAAUGAAGGAUGGGUGUGGCCUUCCCCUCUCCUUCCUCUUCUAGGCUGGAUGUACAAGAGGAAAGUGCAAUAGCUCAAAUUAACAAUCUUUACUCCAAAUUCCAAUCUCAAACCUCCUAUGCUAAGCAAAGGAGGCAAUGGCUGAAGUCACUUUUUUAAUCUGUUUAUAAACUAGAG